rnacentral:rRNA from 1 species
AGAGUUUGAUCCUGGCUCAGAUUGAACGCUGGCGGCAGGCCUAACACAUGCAAGUCGAGCGGUAGAGAGAAGCUUGCUUCUCUUGAGAGCGGCGGACGGGUGAGUAAUGCCUAGGAAUCUGCCUGGUAGUGGGGGAUAACGUUCGGAAACGGACGCUAAUACCGCAUACGUCCUACGGGAGAAAGCAGGGGACCUUCGGGCCUUGCGCUAUCAGAUGAGCCUAGGUCGGAUUAGCUAGUUGGUGAGGUAAUGGCUCACCAAGGCGACGAUCCGUAACCGGUCUGAGAGGAUGAUCAGUCACACUGGAACUGAGACACGGUCCAGACUCCUACGGGAGGNAGCAGUGGGGAAUAUUGGACAAUGGGCGAAAGCCUGAUCCAGCCAUGCCGCGUGUGUGAAGAAGGUCUUCGGAUUGUAAAGCACUUUAAGUUGGGAGGAAGGGCAGUUACCUAAUACGUAAUUGUUUUGACGUUACCGACAGAAUAAGCACCGGCUAUCUCUGUGCCAGCAGCCGCGGUAAUACAGAGGGUGCAAGCGUUAAUCGGAAUUACUGGGCGUAAAGCGCGCGUAGGGUGGUUAGUUAAGUUGGAUGUGAAAUCCCCGGGCUCAACCUGGGAACUGCAUUCAAAACUGACUGACUAGAGUAUGGUAGAGGGUGGUGGAAUUUCCUGUGUAGCGGUGAAAUGCGUANAUAUAGGAAGGAANACCAGUGGCGAAGGCGACCACCUGGACUGAUACUGACACUGAGGUGCGAAAGCGUGGGGAGCAAACAGGAUUANAUACCCUGGUAGUC